rnacentral:rRNA from 1 species
AUACGGAGGGGGCUAGCGUUGCUCGGAAUUACUGGGUGUAAAGGGUGCGUAGGCGGACGAGUCAGUCAGUGGUUAAAUCUCACAGCUCAACUGUGAACUAUCCAUUGAUACUGCUCGUCUUGAGUGCUAGAGAGAAGAGUGGAAUUCCGAGUGUAGCGGUGAAAUGCGUAGAUAUUCGGAAGAACACCAGUGGCGUAGGCGACUCUUUGGCUAGCAACUGACGCUGAUGCACGAAAGCGUGGGGAGCGAACAGAAUUAGAUACCCCGGUAGUCC